rnacentral:rRNA from 1 species
GUGGGGAAUAUUGGACAAUGGGCGAAAGCCUGAUCCAGCCAUGCCGCGUGUGUGAAGAAGGUCUUCGGAUUGUAAAGCACUUUAAGUUGGGAGGAAGGGCAGUAAGUUAAUACCUUGCUGUUUUGACGUUACCAACAGAAUAAGCACCGGCUAACUUCGUGCCAGCAGCCGCGGUAAUACGAAGGGUGCAAGCGUUAAUCGGAAUUACUGGGCGUAAAGCGCGCGUAGGUGGUUCAGCAAGUUGGAGGUGAAAUCCCCGGGCUCAACCUGGGAACUGCCGCCAAAACUACUGAGCUAGAGUACGGUAGAGGGUAGUGGAAUUUCCUGUGUAGCGGUGAAAUGCGUAGAUAUAGGAAGGAACACCAGUGGCGAAGGCGACUACCUGGACUGAUACUGACACUGAGGUGCGAAAGCGUGGGGAGCAAACAGGAUUAGAAACCCGUGUAGUCC